CCCCACUUUGCGCCACGCACUCUUUUCCCAGCCCAGGGGCACGGACCACAAAUUUGGCUAAAGCCGACCAGGCCGAGCUGUUGAGGAAUGCAGGGGUUUGGCGGCAGAAAGGAUGGGACCAGAGAGGCGGGGGUGUGAAGGAGACCCCAGGAGGGGCAGGGCUUUGCAGGCAAAGAAGGGGAAGAAGAGGCCAAGAAGUCAAAGGCCAGGCUCUGAAGGAGAAUAAAGGAGGUCAAAGAGAGGUCAUAUCUUCGUGCCUCACUUCCUGACACAAACAAGUUUUCACUGUUGUCAGCAACAAAGCCCUGAUACAGCUGCGGGAAGAAAACGGCCUCGCAUUUUGUCUCCUGCAAGCAUCAUCCACAGUUACCGGAGGAAUGUAAUUCCAGAAAGCUUUAAAGCUGGCGGUGAUGGUAAUUAUGUAUCAAAUGCCCGAUUCUAUUUCUGUUAUUAUUGUUCUGUCAUUUCUGUUCUACCCAAGAGCUGGCUGAACUCGCAGAGGUACAAAUCCGGUUUUUCUUUUUUUUUUUUUUUUUAUCUGGUAACAUGUCAUCAGACCUGAUGGAGAACUCACUGCUCUUGGGGGGAAAAUAAAGUGGGAGCCACGAAAUGUCAUUUUCACAGAGCGUGGGUUUGGUGACUGUAGGGAAGGAUUUAAGGACGCUCCUUCUGUUCGGUUUUCUACGUGAUGAGCCAAGGCUGCUCGCGCACGCAGACGCCGCGGCUCCCGGAUGCUGCGGCUCCCACUGCUGCUGCAGUCACGUGGGAGCCCCUUUAAGUUUCCAUAGAGAAGCCUCUCCGGUGUCACAUGAUGGACAUGAUAUAAUGAAACAACACCGUGGAGAGGAAAGCAUUAGGGGAGCCCACGGCUACGAAAACAAGUGAGUGAGAAGAGGUGGGAGGAAGAGAAACUACGCCACCUCCCCUGCAGCCGAGCCGCCCGCAGCAGCAGCGGGCGAGGAAAAGGGGGCGGGGCCGGGGGAAAGCGGGAGGCUGGGAGACCGGGUCCUCCGCCCCGGCCCGGGGCCCCCGCCGCCCACCGCCCACCGCGGAGAGAACAACUUUCAGCCGGCAGCCUCGGCCUGCCUGCACCUGUCUCCGGAGCCUCCCUCGCUCCCCGGAUGAUCAGAGGGAAAUGCGAGGAGAAUAUGCUCUACAAAUAUUACAUGCGCAUCUUUUUCCCCCGUGCGCCUCGCUCUGGAGGAAGGAGAGAGAACGGGAUUGAAGCGGCCGCUGGUGUUCAGCCCCAAGCACCACCAAGCCUCCCGGGAAUGGCACUGCUACUCAGCUCUCGGCUGGAGGGAAGAAGGAGGAUUUUACCUCUUGUUUUCAGGGAGUCAUUUACCAGCAUUUGUGAAUGCUCCUCAGAGUCGGAAGAGGCAGGCCACCUCGCCAUCUGGAGUGUCUGCGCCUGCUGACCCGAGCGUAACCUGCCAGCUUACGGGAGAUGAUAGCCGACGCCCCGGACGGCUGAGAGAAAAAUGGAAGAAACAUACUUUUAAUGGAAUGGAAUAAACCGAACAGGUAACGGAAGUUAGCAGGAUAAGGAGACUGGGUUUCUGAAAGCGGAUGGAACUUGCAGAAGGUCAGAGCCUUCAAGAGGCACAACCGAUAGCAACAGGUUCCAGCGCCACCCUGGGAAGACCCCGAGGCCAGUCCCCUGCCCGGACGGCGUCUCUGCAGACACACGUCUCUCUCUUCCUCGCCUGCCCCCUGCCAACACCUGCUGGCUCUCCCCCUCAUCUCAGAGGACAGACAUGUGGUGUUGCUUUUGAAAGGAGGUUUUUAAAAGGAAAAGGAGAGCCUGGUUUGUUGACUAUACCAGGGAACAAGAGGUGACCUCAGUCUGGAAAACCAGCUGGCCCCCACCUCUCUGUGUCCCGCAAAACAAGCCCUUUGUCAAGCAGCAGAAGGCGGGCCAGUCAUCGUUUCAGCUGACCAGGAUUCUUCAAGGAAACAAAGCAAGAGGCGCUCUGCAUUUUCACAGCUGAACAGAGCUCUUAGGAAACGCCGCCAGCUCACUCAGCGCCCACGAGGCCAUGGGAGCGUCUGGUGACCAUUAGUCAGGGGCCUGAAUGCAGAGGCUGGGGGUGGGU